CUCAUUUCUCUCCUAUUUUAAAAAAACCGAAAAUACGCUAUUUUCUCUCAAAUUGCCCCUUUUCUCCGGCCUAAGGUUCCUGCCGUUGGCGACUGUACGGACCGCCGGUCAUCGACGACGGCGCCACCUUCCGCGGUGGCCGAAAAUGCCAACACCACCCAUUUUUGCUUCUCUCUUCGAGUAGAGCCUGAAUUUGGGGUUAAAAUGGCCCGAAAAACCUUUGAAAGUCUGGAAAAGAAAGGAUAAAACUCAGGGGCCUUUCGGCUCCCCAUCACCGUCGGUGGGGUUUGCGGCGAGCCCACUGAUCCAGCCACCCUCAAGACCGGAGAAACCUUCGUCCGCAGCGUUAAAGGUAACAUAUUUCUUUUUUUUUAUUAUUCUAUUUAUUUCGAAAUAAAAAUAUAUAAAAAUAAAGCACCUUCGUUUUCUUUCGAAUCUGUAACAUUACAUGGUUAUUUUCGUGGCUUUUAUAGCCACGAUUACAUUGUUGGUCUAUGUUACUGUUUGCUGCUUUUCGCUGCUGUUUCUCUUGCUGUUUUGCUUGCUUUCGUUUCUGUCUUUUUUUUUUUGCAGGCAAGGUCAACGGACGUUGAAAGGCUAACUCUUGCCAUUUUGGUGCAAAGCCGUAGACGCAUGUCAGGCUUUGGGUGGCGAGCGAGCUGCAGAGGCACGAGGAGGGGGGUGUGGCGCAUAUGAGACAUUAAGGCCCUGCAAGAGGAGUUACAACAAUUUGAGAGAUAUGAGGUUUGAGAGCUGGUGCCAAGGCCCACUGAAUGCAACAUAAUUGGUACAAAGUGGAUCUUCAAAAACAGAACAGAUGAGCAGGAAAAUAUCACUUGUAACAAAUCUAAGAUAUUGAUUUUGAAGAAACUUAUGCACCUGUUGCUAGACUUGAGGCUAUCAGAUUAUUGCUUGUUGUAGCUGCACAUCUUAACAUCAAGUUGUAUUUUUUUUUUUGACUAAAACAUCAAGUUGUAUUAAAUGGAUGUUAAGAGUGCCUUCUUGAAUGAAUUUCUAAAUGACGAGA